rnacentral:rRNA from 1 species
CACGUAGGGGGCAAGCGUUGUCCGGAUUUAUUGGGCGUAAAGAGCGUGUAGGCGGCCAGGUAGGUCUGCUGUGAAAACUCGAGGCUCAACCUCGAGACGUCGGCGGAAACCAUCUGGCUAGAGUCCGGAAGAGGAGAGUGGAAUUCCUGGUGUAGCGGUGAAAUGCGCAGAUAUCAGGAGGAACACCGGUGGCGAAGGCGGCAUCCUGGACCAACACUGACACUGAGGAGCGAAAGCCAGGGGAGCAAACGGG